GGGAGUCAUUUCUGCUUUGGUCAGUGUAAAGCUCGGUGGGAUGCUGCCUUUCUGUCUUACAGACUUUCUGCUCAGAAGCCCAGUAUAUUUUCAGGAAUCCCAAAUUUCAAUUGGCACGAAGCUGACAUGGCCCCACAUAUGAAAGACAAGCUGUUGAAAAGAAGCAAGCUCACCAGAAAGCCGUGAUUAAAUUUUGCAGAAGAAGCCCUUACUGUUAAUCAAGAGAGGGAGAUUAGAAGAGAUGAGAACCACCAGCCUGAAGAGCACUUUGCGUUUGACUACACCUUUCUGCCAGCCUGUGUGUUUCUCUUCUGAUAUCUCUGCAGGGAGAAGUUCUCCAGGGAACUUCUUCAGCUUACACAAAUAAACUCCGUGGUAGCUCUUCUGAAAGGUCCUUGCAUUCUUAAUGAUCACGUUUGUUACUCUUCAACUCUUUGGAAACACUUCUGGGAUCACAAGGCACAGUGAAUCUAUGAAAAGAAGCCCCUAUGCUGUAUCAGAUUCUUAUAUUAAUUGACUGAUAGAUAUUAAGACCUGCUAUUAUGGUCAUCCAGUCUGGCCUUCUGCAUGAGCAGACAUGGAAUUCCAGCACAGUAAUUCAUGCUUUUUCAGAAGAAAUCCAUACACACUACAAAAC